UACCCGCGGCCCGAGUGGUGCUCAUUAUUAUUGAGCCUAAAACGUCCGUAGCCGGCUCCGUGGAUGCCUGGGUAAAUCGGGCAGCUCAACUGUCCGAAUUCCGGGUAGACCGCGGGGCUCGGGACCGGGAGAGGUCGGAGGUACUCCGGGGGUAGGGGUAAAAUCCUGUAAUCCUCGGAGGACCACCAGUGGCGAAGGCGUCCGACUAGAACGGAUCCGACGGUCAGGGACGAAGCCCAAGGGCGCAAACGGG
rnacentral:rRNA from 1 species